UGGUGCACCGAGAUCAUCUUCCAGUUUUUCAGGACGCCCUCUGAAAGAUCUCAGUGUGAGAAAAGGGCUGUCACUCAACAACAGUCGAGUGUUUUCCCACCAGUGUAUCCCCAUGUUUACAGCAUCAUGUCAAACUUGCCCAUAAGUUUUGGACAGUUACUCUGCAUGCGCCUACAGCCACAUGAACACAGCACCGCUCAUAUCGGGAUUGGCAAACCAACCAACCGCUACAUCCGUUCCAUCUGUUCCCUCGUCUCAGGUGUGGCCCUUACCUGCCGGCCCCUGGGGGCCAGGUGGUCCUUUUGGCCCUGGCGGUCCGGGUGGUCCGGCUGGCCCCAGGGCAUUGGAACCUGGGAUCCCCGGAAUACCGGGAAUUCCUGGGGGGCCCUGAGGGCCUGGGGGUCCGGGUUGGCCUGGAGGACCAGGGGCUCCCUGUCGCCUCUUUCCUGGGAAAGGAUGUCGGAUGAAACCUAGCAUUUAUUUGAAAAUAUUGCAAGUCUUAUGAAGCAGAACAGAGGAACCAGACUGAAGCAUGAGCCCUGAACAAAAUGUGCUCUUCUGGAUGGCCAGGGAAGGCGGACAAAGACACACACACAUCAUGAUUAAAUUAAAAACAAUUACCUUUCUUGACUUUAUCUUUCCGUUUACCGGAGGGGGAUUCUGAAACAAACCAAACCAAAUAAUAAGCAAGACUUUCUCUCCAAAAUAUAAUUUAACGCAUCUCCAAAUCCCAGGCUUCCUGUGGCCCUUCUCACACACACACACACACACACACACCACAACCUUUCUCUAUCUCUGACUCUCAGAAGGGUCUAAUUGUCUGUAAAUGCCUCACAUUCCCCAGCCUUUUGUAAUGCAGACGAGCGUGAAACGUCACAUAGCAUUCAUUUAGUACCAAAUAACGUCUAAUGAAGCCUGUCUUUUAAUGAUGUGAUCAGAGGCUUCGGCGCGGCCAGGUAUUCGGGGAUGCCGCGGCCCUCUUGCCGAGCCUGUGAGAGACCAGAUUCCCGUAUACUGUAUCAACAUGUGCCUGGAGCGUUACCCGGCAAUGGAAUACGAGAGGUUAAUUAGAGAGAUACAUUACCCUGCCAAAAUCCUUUCUUUUGAAUUAGGCCCAGAUGGAGGACGUAGAUGAAAGUGUGUGUGUGUGUGUGUGUGUCUGUCUGUUCUGUUCUGUGUGUUGUUGGGGUAUCACUGAAAUGUCUGUCGAACUUGUAAACUACACACGCAUACAUACACACGCACUCACACACGCAUACACACACACACACACACACACAUACAUGCACUCACCCAGACACACACCACACAAAAAGGCUGUGCACUGCAUAAAACAAUCCUGUUUAAGUGCCGUCUUUCAGGUUAUGCGUAUACCAUGUCAUUACAAACUACAAAGGAGGAUGCUUAACCUUAAAACACUCUCUGUUUGAGUCUUCCACCCCUGAAGACAUAUGGCCAAUGUUUUGCUUUUUUUUUCUCUUUCUCUCUUCUCUAAAACCUCGUCUUCUGCAGGCUAAAUAACUGGAUGCAUCUACAUGAUUUUUUCCUAAUGAGCGACCUAUCUGAAAUCUGGUCCAUGUUAUGAGGUCCUUCAGUCUGUGUCCUGCCCCCCUUUCCUUUCACUUCAUCUCUGAGAGAUGGAAUCAAUUGGGUAUGUGAACAAUUAUUAAAGCAUAUGAGUAUUCAGGGAAUUGCAUGCAUUCAAAGGACAAAAACAUCAAACGCAUAUUACUGCGCAUGAGACAUAUGGAUUACUGUUUGAGAUAUUACAGUGCAGAGGGAAUCAACAAGUGAUCUCGGGGCCAGCAGACUUUCCAAACAAGGGAUCAACCUGCCCUCACAGACAGACAGAGAGAUGUUUGCAGGUCCCAUUACAUUUGAAAAGAGACCACACAUAAAUCCUGCACAUCAAUUCCACCCUUGGACACACUUCUGAUUGUUUUACACGCUGGGAGCAAGACAUAAAAACAGAAGUUCAUAACUCUUAUAUUCCGAGGUUAAGAAAACAAGUUGGGGCCUGGAGUUUGGUUUUCGUGAGCACGGCAUAUUGACAGGCUGUAAAUUUCAAACGAUGCUGGCUCUCUUUCUUAUUUGUUCUGGGUUUGACUGGACCGUAUUUCACAAUAGCCUCAGCAUGGGAGGCACUAGGCUCAAUUCCCUCCCAAGUGGAUCUCGGGGAAGGACAAGCAGUCCAGGAAGAACAUCAUCAUCAUCAACAUGGACCGUGAUAGCCCUUGGCAAGGGGUCUUUUUGCAGAAUAAGAUUUUGGGGGUGGGGGGUAGGGGGUGCACUUCAAAGGUCUGGGAUGACGUUCUUUUAAAUGGAAUUAGCUUUGCUGUGUGCAAACUGAAUCAUGCUUCACGACCCUAUCUGCUGUGCAGCUGGGAUGACUGGAAUCUAUCUGUAACUAUUGCAACUUUGAGAGGGAGAGAAAAAAACAGCUGCAAUAAAAUAAAUGUAACCAACUGGCUAAAUAAAUAAAUAAUACAAGCAGGUGCACAGGGGCUGCUACAGACAUUCCCUUGCCAUUUGAUCAUUUGGGAUUUUCUGGACAGCUUUCAAAUACGGGCUUUGAAGGGCAAAAAAAAAAAAAAAAAGAAAGUAAUCAAGAAAAAUGGAAUGCAAACAUUAUGCUGACCGACUCUUCAAAGCACUUUAAUCAUGAUGACGGUGGUUGAAAUUCCUGCAUUUCAAACAACUGCAUCCAUUUCAGAUUGUUUUAAGCUGCCGCGCUCUUUUGUGGUUACGGGAUUGGCACGUGAGGGCCUCUACCUGAGUCGUGUCUUCGGUUGGUGCCACGCUUCGUCCGCCAAAGUGCGCUGCCAGAUCCUGCCGUCACCUGGGCCCGUCUUUCCAUAAUCCCCUCUGGUGGCUGCCGGGGGACGAGAGACAAAAACAGACAACACCAAUUAAAAGCGGCAGAAAGGCCUCUCUGGUUACUGCCAAGCCUUUCCCCAAGUGUGACUUUCAUGACAAGCCUUUCAAAGUGAGUGCAAAGACUCACUAUAUAAUCCAAAGCGAUUAACAAGCUCAACGGUUGCAGCAGUGUUUACUGGAUGCCAACAGGCAAAAAUAUUAUGGUGAUUGAUGCUUUCCCCCCCCAAAAAAAAUUCUUUGUUAACUUGCCAUGUAAUAUGACACAGGAGAAACAAGGAACUCUAUGACCCAACUGUCUUUGA